ensembl:lncRNA
ACAGGGAGAUACACCUUGCCUGGCAGCCAUCUUGGGCCUUUGUUGCCCUCGGCACCUCAGAGCAGCCAGUCCUGCAGUGCUACCUGGGCUGCAUGUCAAGCUGGGCCUGGCCUCAGGGCCAUAGCAGGAGGAGCCUGAGGUGGGGCAGCACUGUAUUCUGUCCCUCACCCCUUCAGGGAUGCCCCUGGGGAUGGACCAGCACCUGUGGGAGCAGCACACAGAAUGAAGUUAUUCUGGAUGCCUAAGCACUUACGUCACUCUCCUCGUUUGAAAUUGGAUGUUAAAGAAAAAAAACAGUGGAGGUGAAACAGAUGACAAGGUACUUGAUCAGCAGAAGACCAUGAAAGCAGCAGGAAGAGGGAGAAUCCUCUGCAUUUGCUGCUGAUGGAAACAGUAGAAGAAAAUCUCAUUACUGUCUUGAAGUCCUCAAAAACGGGAAUGAAUGAUAUUAACAAUGGUGUCUAUUAAAAAUGGCAUCUGAAACAUCAUUGUAAAGUGAAGAUUUAUUUAAAAAAUCUAGAAUGGUCAGAGUUGUUUGUUGUUUUUGUGCCCCAUCUGCCCACCAGAGAAAUCCAAGGCCACAUAUGCACCUGCUGGUAAUGCUCUGGAGAUGAGUUCUGGGAGGACAGGCAACACCUGGGUUCUGGCAAAGCAAGACCUUGAAGUUCGUGUUGCUGAAAGCAUAUCUGACUGCUGGAAGGGAUAAACAGAAGGGUCCUGCUCCAGGAGUCGCAGAGGCUAACCAGUGCAAAACAGCAAUUAUCUGUGGAAAUACUUAAACUCAUCUUUUCAUAGUGACAAAGCCAGUUCUACAAGGUUCAGCCUGGAAGCCCUUUGAGGUUCCUUGCCUGCCAGGAUGGGAGGAGUCGAUCGCUGCUGGAUGAAAAACCCCAUCGGACAAAACUUCAGUGCCUGUGUUUGGGGAUUUGUGCAGCAUCAAGCACGGUAUUGUUAAGAGAAGUAUAAUUCUUCAUGGAUGAGGCAAUGUCAUCUAUGAGUGAUUUAUUUAGAGACAGAAAGAAAAAUAUUUUUAAAUGCAUCAAUACCUGUUUUAAUGUGUUUUAGGUGAAACUCAGUGCCCUUUAUAAUCAGGGCUUUAGGGUUAGUUAUUAGUUAUAUUAGUUAGUUAUAGCAUAAUUAAUGCAGGAUGCUAAAAAUAUUUUAAAAUGGGUUACAUAAAUAAUUAUUUCACUAAUAUGUCUAAAAACAUAACCUGUUUUCCUGGACUAGAUAGACAUUUCUUGCAACACUGCAUUUUAAUCCACAUUCCACUGCCUGGAAAAGAUAUGCUUAAUUCUUUGGAAAAGAGCUCUAAGAAGUGAGAAAUUGAAAAAUGCUGGCUUCAUCAACUUUUGGAGCCAGUACGUUUCCCUUUGCUUCCUGGUUGCCAAAACCUUUUAUCCAUUAAGGAUACUCAGACUUACAUCUACUCAGUUCACUUACACAGAUCCAUAUAUUACGAGGUACUGGAUUCCAGGGUAAGUCUUACACAAAGCGCUGCUGAGAUGGCCCUUACAUCCUGACAGACCAUCCAUGUACUGAAAGCUAGCAUAGUGUUAGGGAAGCAUUGUUGGAUUUACUGCUUACUGAAGGAAAGAGUGCUCUCCCUAAAAUAAAAUAAAAUAAAAUAGUUAGCAUUUCAUGUAAAUUUGAGAACACCUGAUGUUUAUAUGUCAACCUGAGCUGAGCCUGCUUAUAAUGUAAUGCACUCCUUUCUAAUAACUGGAACGUCGUAUUUUUUAUGGCCUCAUUCAAAUAUAUUUUCAUAAU